AGCUUUAACUGAACUGUAGUAGCAUCUAGUGCAGACUUUUUUCUACAGCGGAGUAUUCUACUAACUUAGACUCCUACAACUAUGUCUUUUAUCAUUUUUUUAUUUUGAAAUAUCAGUAUAAUCAUAGAUAGUACAGUACACAAACUAUGCAACCUUUAAUGCACACACUCCAUUUCUGCUGUAGGAAUAUGGACGUGGGCUGAUGAUAAUUUUGCAUUAAUUAUUAUAAUUAAUUUUUAUCACCCCCAAAAAUGGCGUCCAGUAGUAGCAAGAGUGCUCCUCCUCUUAUUCCUAAAUCACAUGAAGAUGGAGGGAAGAUAUCAUAUACUGCUUUUAAGAUGAAAGCUAAG